ensembl:lncRNA
UGAUAAGUCGUCCGUCCUUAUUCGAACCCACUGAGCAAACACUGAAAAUAAAACCCGUACAUAAUUGAGUCAUUCAGUACGGGGGGGGGGGAUGCUCCACGGUAGGCUACUGCAAAUGUGAUCCCAGAGCGUGGAACAAGUUGUGUAGCACUCGCUGCUGCUAAAAGGAAUCCACCGGCAUCCAUUCCAAGCAGAACAUAAUGGAUGGAGCGUGGGACCUGAUCCGGCUGUGGAUGAGCCAGCCCGUAGGUGUCUGAGUGGGCGUUCAAAUGGAUUCGGGGACACUGGCUGAGAAUAACACACUUUAUCCUCACCGAUGGCUUAGUCCUCAAAGAUGUUCCGUGUUCACUAGCCGUGCCGCGCCCCUCCCCACCUCGACGCACCCCACCCUUCCCUCCUUUCAAAGAAAAAAGAAGGUCUUCAUAACAAAUCGGCGGUGUGCCAAAAUCUUGCCGUCUGGCUGGUUGAGGGAGGUUUGGAUGCUUCUCCUUCAGUGCGCCCUAAUCCCAGUGUUGCACAAGCACACUGUUCUACUUCUCGCUUUGAGCUCGGCUUUUAACAACGGGAUAAAAGAACAGAUGAGGAGGAUCGUAGAUGUCACACUAGUGCGCUGAUGAUGAAAAUCAUAAGUUGUGCAAACAAGAAUGCUCUCAGUGGUGAUUCUGGCAGCUAAUAGAUGUUGUGCUCCAAGCGGUUAUGCGCUGCUGCGGAGGAGAAAGGUAAAUGACUCCAAAAACCACAGGGAAGUUGCAAUCUCCACAGAUACCUGGAAACCAAUACGAACCAACAUCUGGUAAUGAAUUAUGGAUGUAGAUGGAACACAUGUCCCGGGUCUGUCGCUUGCCCGGCGAUGUUGUUUAAAGUCUCAUGAAGAUAUACUUCCCAUGAUGGCUUUUGGAAUUUGCAAUGUGGGAUCUUGUGUUCUGUAAUAUACAGUUAUGGAUUAUUCCGAGGCAAUGUAUGCACAAACUACAAUGACAGGUUUUGAAGGAUAUUUUUCCAGCUACAUCUUGACAUUUAGAAAACAUUUUCUUCUCUGGGUUUAUUUCCGAUGUGACAGGAGACCAGCCCGCAUAUAGAAAACCAUGCUAUGAACCAGAUCCCUCCUGUAUCAGCCCAUCCAUCUGCUGCAAGUCCUUCUCCCCAGAGCCCAGUGGGAGGUAACGCCGCGCUGUUCCUAGGCUGUGACGGGUGGAGACCGACUGUAACGUCACCAAUCACCAACUGACUCUUUGUGCCUACCCACGUCUCCCUCAGGCGGGGAGAAUUACUACAUACUUCAUGUCCGGGUUCCUUUCAGCUGUCUCCAAGAUCUUCAACCUAAACAUGCUUAUUGCCGCCAACAGACAGAAAGGACUGUGACACAUGCUUUUGUCUCAACCCACGUCCACCACUCCUACCAGCUUCCCCCUCUGCCUCCCUUGCAUUCACAUCUACUAUCAUGAAUGCUUGCAGAACAAACACUCCACCAAUUAGCGCUAUCAGCCUGCGGCGCCUUCGGUGAACCUCUUUGUUUGCAAAGAAAAAAAAGAAUAUUGGCUUCAACGACGUGACAAGAAAAGGGCCUGUCGUAAUGGAGCCGCUGCUUGCUGCAAAACACCCCAGACCAGAACAUGGGUGGGAUGGCCGAUAGUCCGGGAGAGAUUCCAGUGAUGAGGCCCACAUCGUUCCCAGAGCUACGACGGGAGCAUUUUAGGCCGUGAGAGCUACGCGCUCCGGCUGGUGCGUUUCGUUUGUUAGAUCGCCCGCUACGGUUUGGUCCAGCUACGUCGCUGCGGAGUGUUUGCUCCGACGGCAACUUAAUGCAGCUUCAUGAAGUAGAUCUUCUCAAACGUUAUCCUUUCGUCCUGCAUGCCUCUCUCAGUCCAC